GUGGGUGUAGCUUGUGGUAGAGUGCAUGCUUAGCAGGCAUGGGGUCCCAGGUUCAAUUCCCAGUACCUUCA
rnacentral:tRNA from 1 species